rnacentral:rRNA from 1 species
UACGGAGGAUGCGAGCGUUAUCCGGAUUUAUUGGGUUUAAAGGGUGCGUAGGCGGACUGGAAAGUCAGCGGUAAAAUCGAGAGGCUCAACCUCUUUCCGCCGUUGAAACUGUCGGUCUUGAGUGGGCGAGAAGUAUGCGGAAUGCGUGGUGUAGCGGUGAAAUGCGUAGAUAUCAGGAGGAACACCAGUGGCGAAGGCGGCUUACUGGACUGUAACUGACGUUGAGGCUCGAAAGCGUGGGGAGCAAACAGG